rnacentral:rRNA from 1 species
AUUGAACGCUGGCGGCAGGCCUAACACAUGCAAGUCGAGCGGGGUUUUCGGACCUAGCGGCGGACGGGUGAGUAAUGCGUAGGAAGCUACCCGAUAGAGGGGGAUACCAGUUGGAAACGACUGUUAAUACCGCAUAAUGUCUACGGACCAAAGUGUGGGACCUUCGGGCCACAUGCUAUCGGAUGCGCCUACGUGGGAUUAGCUAGUUGGUGAGGUAAUGGCUCACCAAGGCGACGAUCCCUAGCUGGUUUGAGAGGAUGAUCAGCCACACUGGAACUGAGACACGGUCCAGACUCCUACGGGAGGCAGCAGUGGGGAAUAUUGGACAAUGGGCGCAAGCCUGAUCCAGCCAUGCCGCGUGUGUGAAGAAGGCCUUCGGGUUGUAAAGCACUUUCAGUAGGGAGGAAGAGUUGAGUGUUAAUAGUACUCAGCUUUGACGUUACCUACAGAAGAAGCACCGGCUAACUCUGUGCCAGCCGCCGCCGUAAAAC